rnacentral:misc_RNA from 1 species
UACGUAGGUGGCAAGCGUUAUCCGGAAUUAUUGGGCGUAAAGCGCGCGUAGGCGGUCUGUUAAGUCUGAUGUGAAAGCCCCCGGCUCAACCGGGGAGGGUCAUUGGAAACUGGCAGACUUGAGUGCAGAAGAGGAGAGUGGAAUUCCAUGUGUAGCGGUGAAAUGCGCAGAGAUAUGGAGGAACACCAGUGGCGAAGGCGGCUCUCUGGUCUGCAACUGACGCUGAGGUGCGAAAGCGUGGGGAUCAAACAGG